GACGAACGCUGGCGGCGUGCUUAACACAUGCAAGUCGAACGGUGAACCUCUUCGGAGGUGCUCAGUGGCGAACGGGUGAGUAACACGUGGGCAACCUGCCCCCGGCCCUGGGAUAACUCCAAGAAAUUGGGGCUAAUACCAGAUUUUCACCGCUUCCCGCCUGGGUGGUGGUGGAAAGGGUUUCCGGCUGGGGAUGGGCCCGCGGCCUAUCGGCUUGUUGGUGGGGUAGUGGCAUACCAAGCCAACGACGGAUAGCCGACCUGGGAGGGGGACCGGCCACCCUGGGCCUGCGACAGGGAGCAGUCGCGUAUGGGAGGCAGCGGGGGGGAGUAUGACGCAGUGGGAGGGAGUGUGACGCGGAGGCGCCGCGUUGGGGAAGACGGCCUUCGGGUUGUAAACCUCUGUAAGCAGAGACGAAGCGGAAGUGACGGUACCUGCAGAAGAAGCACCGGCCAACUACGUG
rnacentral:rRNA from 1 species